ensembl:misc_RNA Metazoa_SRP Metazoan signal recognition particle RNA
GCCAGGCAUGGUGGCGCAUGCCUGUAAUCCCAGCACUUUGGGAGGCUGAGGUGGGCGGAUCACCUGAGGUCUGGAGUUCAAGACUAGCCUGACCAACACGGUGAAACUCCAUCUUUA